GGGCUUGUAGCUUAGUCUGGUAGAGCGCCUGUCUUAUAUGACGCGCAACCCCGUUAGGAGUUGCGUCAAAGCGCCUAAGACAACAGGUGGUCGAGGGUUCAAAUCCCUCCAGGCCCA
rnacentral:tRNA from 1 species